UACGUAGGUGGCAAGCGUUGUCCGGAUUUACUGGGCGUAAAGGGAGCGUAGGCGGAUAUUUAAGUGGGAUGUGAAAUACUCGGGCUCAACCUGAGUGCUGCAUUCCAAACUGGAUAUCUAGAGUGCAGGAGAGGAAAGUAGAAUUCCUAGUGUAGCGGUGAAAUGCGUAGAGAUUAGGAAGAAUACCAGUGGCGAAGGCGACUUUCUGGACUGUAACUGACACUGAGGCUCGAAGGUGCGGGGAUCAAACAGG
rnacentral:rRNA from 1 species